rnacentral:rRNA from 1 species
ACGAGAAGACCCCAUGGAGCUUUAAACCUGACAGCACCCGCUCAUUCUAUACCCCAUUAUUUGCCCGACCCCUGUCUGCUCAGUUUUAGGUUGGGGUGACCACGGAGUAUAAAAUAACCUCCAUGAAGAAGGGGAUAUUUCCCUUAUUAGAGAACCACACUUCCAAGAACUAAUAAAUUAAUUUUCAAUGACCCGAUACCUGAUAAUCGAUCAACGAACCAAGUUACCCUGGGGAUAACAGCGCAAUCCACCCUGAAAGCCCUUAUUAACAGGUGGGUUUACGACCUCGAUGUUGGAUCAGGGUAUCCCAGUGGUGCAGCAGCUACUGAGGGUUCGUUUGUUCAACGAUUAAAACCCU